UACGAAGGGGGCUAGCGUUGCUCGGAAUUACUGGGCGUAAAGGGCGCGUAGGCGGUCUGUUAAGUCCGAUGUUAAAGGCUGGGGCUCAACCCCAGUAAAGCGUUGGAUACUGGCAAGCUAGAGUGUGGCAGAGGGUAGUGGAAUUCCUAGUGUAGCAGUGAAAUGCGUAGAGAUCAGGAGGAACAUCCGUGGCGAAGGCGACUGCCUGGACCAAUACUGACGCUCAGGCGCGAAAGCGUGGGGAGCAAACAGG
rnacentral:rRNA from 1 species